ACCAACAACACAUCUCAGUAUGACAAGUUCAGACUUGACCGUACGGACCCGUCCGGUCUCGCAUGCGACGCCGUUAACGGAGAGACGCCGCCGACCCGCCGGAGGCACUUUCUCCAUCACUGCUUAAAGUGGACCCGAUGUGAACUAGAAUGAAGUUGGCUGGACAUAAAGUUAACUGGACAGUACCUGAAGCUAACUGGACCUCAAGUACUCUGUGAUCUUUGGGCCUGUACAAGUGAUCCUCAAGUUCAGCAGCACGGAUGAGGUGAUCAAACGCUCCAACAAUACAGAGUAUGGCCUGGCUUCUGGUAUUAUCACCACCAACAUUAACAAGGCCAUAAUGUAUGCCCAAGCUGUUCAGGCCGGAUCAGUUUGGGUCAACUGCUAUGAUGUGUGUCUCCCACAAACACCAUUUGGAGGAUACAAACAAUCUGGUCAUGGACGGGAACUUUGUGGAUGAGCGAGCCGAUACAAGUUAGAGACGGGAACGGAGAUAGAUUCUACAGUCGGCGUCUGAGAGCCGAUUCGGACGAAGACGCCGCCCGACGCGCCACGAAGACACUCGUCAAUUGCGGACGAAGAUACCGGCGGACGUGCGAGGAAGACACUCCGGAACGCGGGAAGAAUACACUCGCGAAUGCGAGAAGAUCCUCGUCGACGCAGAAGACGCGUAUCGAUGUCGUAUCGCGACGUAUGUUUUGUGGCAGUCCAGUUUGAAUGUUUUACAGAUGAUGUUAAUGUGUAAAAUUGAUGCCCAUUUUGUUUGUGUAGAGUAAUGAUUUUUAUAAUGUUUGUAGUAUUGUUUUUACAUAGCGACUUUGGAAGUCGAUACAUAACGAGAAUGAAUUUAUUGAAGAUGUUGCCUGUGAUGACUAGGGGUUUGGAAUAAUUUGUUGAGAAGAUGAUCAUUGUAGACAUUUUGCAAAUAGAUCGUAGCAUUUGGAAUGUCAUUUAAUGCGGAAUUCCGGCACGUCCUCAAAUGACGGAAGCGCAAAUACGAGACGACGCGCGCGUUUCGAAAGUAAAAGAAGGGGGAGAUCGGACCGACGUAGAUUAACGAGAUGGCGUCGUCGAGGUAACUGAUAAGAAUGGAGAAAUGGUGACUAUUUUGUUGAGUUAUGAGAAGGGAAAAUUAGAAGAUAGUUUUUUAGGACUGACUAUUUAGAAAGAGAGAGAGAGUAAAGGAAAUCGAUUGAGGUAGUAGUUAUAUAUUAGCGAAGAUGUAAAGUAAAAGGCGAUAAGGACGGCGGGAGGGACAAGGAUCGAUAGAUUUUGCAGGGCACGAGAGGAAUCGACGCGCGAUCACUCGGUCGGCGCAGUGGCGAGAAACGGAUGCGCUGGGGAUUUUGAAGAGGGAAGAAGUCGCGCGGGGAAAUCGGCGGAAGGGACGAGUCGAGGAUCGGCGGCACGGUCGCGGGAGACGACGACGAAUGGAGUAAAUGUCGGUUUAGGAGAGAGUAAUACGUAAAAGGGGGGGUGCAGGUAUUUGCGGAUAUAGACUACGGUCGA